UCUUCUUUGUUUUGUAAUUUGCCUGUGAAAUAAUUUUCAAACUUUAGUCAACAAAAAUGCUAUGACAAGAACAUUAUGGAAAUUAUCAACAACAAAAAUUGGAAUUAAAAGAUUAGGAUUAAAAUCAUCGGAAUUCAAAAGCCGAAACCAAAACAACUCAUUAUAAGCUUGCGAUAGACACUGGAAGAAAAUUUUUAGUAUUACUUCCAUUCAAAAAUCAAAUAUAAUCGUGCUGGCGUUAUGUUGCAACUAUCCAUCUCCCAUACCAUCCGUCCAUAACAGCCGACUGGAAGAGCGAGAUUAAUAAAUCUGUUGGUCUCUUUCUGGUCUACAGGUCUACUGCCGGAAAACGAAAGUUGUCCCUUUAGAAAUAUUUUUAAAAAAUUUAAUUAAAAUUAAUCAAGUACAUGCAUAUUUUUCCAAAUAGAUCGAACUAGAAAAUAGAUCCCGCAGAAAAGAGGUAGCAAAAAUUAU